rnacentral:misc_RNA from 1 species
AUGGAUUAUGAAAUGAGUCAAUCAAUUUCAGAUAGGCUUGUUGCUGGAAUUUCAGUAAUUUUGAUAUGCUUCAUCGGCUUAUUUCUGAACGGUUUAAUAUUUUUCAAGUUUGCAUGCCCAAAACAAUUGAAAAAUGGAUUUCACGUUUUGUGCCUUUCGAAAUCAAUAAGUAACUCAAUUAUUUGUAUCAUCAGCUUGUUUUGGGUUGGUCCGGCCAUUCUCUUAUAAUUGCUGGGUCUAUUACUCUAUCAUUUCUUUCAACUACGACUCAGAAAACGAUAAUUGCGACAAUGUUAAUCUCGAUAUUCUCAAAUUAAUCUGUUUGGUUUUAGCCGUUUUCAACGUUGUUGUACAGAUUCUUAAUUUGAUUAAGAUCAAACUAAUGUUUUCAAAACAAUCAAGAACAGCUUCAAGUCAAAGACGGCGCCGUACAUUGAGACUUUUCAUUCAAAGCGUUAUUCAAGAUUGCCUGUAUGGUUUAGAUCUUUUAAAUUCCUGCAAUUUCUUCUCAGUUCACAGCGUGCUUGGCCAAUUUUUCAUAUAUACAUUCUCAUUGCUGUUCGUCCAUUCUGCCGAUGGACUUAUAAUAUGCCUUUUCCAUUUCAAUGCUUCCUGCCGUCGAAGAAAAAUUCAAAACUCUAAUGGUAACCUGGUAAUUGUGGCGUAAUA